UGUCCGCCUGCACUUCUUUGCUUCAUCCA
rnacentral:piRNA from 1 species